CCUACGGGAGGCUGCAGUGAGGAAUAUUGGUCAAUGGACGAGAGUCUGAACCAGCCAAGCCGCGUGAAGGAUGACUGCCCUCUGGGUUGUAAACUUCUUUUAUAUGGGAAUAAAACGUUCCACGUGUGGGAUUUUGUGUGUACCAUAUGAAUAAGGAUCGGCUAACUACGUGACAGCAGCCGCGGUAAUACGGAGGAUCCGAGCGUUAUCCGGAUUUAUUGGGUUUAAAGGGAGCGUAGGUGGAGUGUUAAGUCAGUUGUGAAAGUUUGCGGCUCAACCGUAAAAUUGCAGUUGAAACUGGCAGUCUGGAGUACAGUAGAGGUGGGCGGAAUUCGUGGUGUAGCGGUGAAAUGCUUAGAUAUCACGAAGAACUCCGAUUGCGAAGGCAGUUCACUGGACUGCAACUGACACUGAGGCUCGAAAGUGUGGGUAUCAAACAGGAUUAGAUACCCUUGUAGUC
rnacentral:rRNA from 1 species